rnacentral:rRNA from 1 species
UACGUAGGUGGCAAGCGUUGUCCGGAAUUAUUGGGCGUAAAGCGCGCGCAGGCGGUCCUUUAAGUCUGAUGUGAAAGCCCACGGCUCAACCGUGGAGGGUCAUUGGAAACUGGGGGACUUGAGUACAGAAGAGAAGAGUGGAAUUCCACGUGUAGCGGUGAAAUGCGUAGAGAUGUGGAGGAACACCAGUGGCGAAGGCGGCUCUUUGGUCUGUAACUGACGCUGAGGCGCGAAAGCGUGGGGAGCAAACGGG